UUGUGUCUUCAGUGUUAGUACGUUUUCCACUUCUUGUGUCUUCAUUACCGCUGAUUUUUUCACAGUGUGCUGCCGUUCCCAAAGGGGCACGGUUUGGAUCGGGGUUGUGGGGGUGAGUGAGGGGAUGGGUUGUUCUGUGUGGGCUAAUGCUAGGGGUGACCGAUGGCAGCAGCAGAAUUAGCUGUACCUCUGCAGAUUCUGAAGUGAAAGCCUGUUUGUUAUUAAACCUCUGAUUCAUCAAGAGACCAAAUGGAGACACCUGGGAACACUGAAAUGUGGUAGCAGUUUUGUGAGCAAUCAGAGGUACUACUGCAUUCUUUAAAACUGCCUUGUAGGUGAUGGCUGCUGCCUCUGAGGAGAAACUGCUUCCAAAUAAGACAGAAAUUGUGGUCUGGAAGCCCAGAAAAGAAUGUUUGCAGCAGAAUAUUCCAAAUGUUCCUGAUGGCAAGUCUGAGGAGAGUGAAUCUGCUUCUACCUCUCCCAGUGAAGUUUCUAGUAUACCUGAGUCUUCAGGGCAGCAAGAUGCAUCUGAGCAUGAGGUGGAAGACUGGGAUAGAGAACUAGAGGAGUUCACAUGUGGUCCUUACGAUGCUGACGAUCUCUCCUGUGGAAGCUUUGAGGAAAAUAAUCUUUCCAGCUCGUAUGUAUGGAAGGAGGAUUGGUUUUACAACCCGGGCUGUCAUCAUGCACCUUGCUUUGUUUUUCCACCACGAGUUAGAACAGUUGAGAAGGGCCAGUUUGAUGAUGCUGAUGAAUGAGGUUGAGCCUGGUCAGAAAUAAGUUUGGCUUCUGUGUUGGAUUAUGUUCUUCAGCGACUGUGCUGUGUCAAGUCCCUUGGCUUUUUUUCAGAGUUGGGCCUGAGGCCAGAAAUGUGUCACCAUCUCAAGGUUUUUGCUUUGAUUGUUUCUGAGCUGUUCAUAAACUGCCCAUCCUUGCCCAGGAGACAAGAGUGCAAAUGCUGGGUGUAAGGAGUCAGUGCAUUUCUGGAGGAUUUGUUUGUAUUAUAUAGAGCUAUAUUGCUGAUUAAUUGUUUGAGGAGAAGUAUUUAAUUUCUAAACUUCAGCUUGUUUGCUAGGCUUCUGUCAGUUUUGACAUGCUGAUCCUUAUGUUUUUGUGUAACUUUUAGUUUUCUUUCCUUUUCAUUUGAUGUUAUCUGAUUGGUUUGGAUAACUUUAAGAACUGUCCCUCCUUCAAGCUUGUCUGUUAUAUUUCCAUAUGGUUCUAAUGUUCACUUGUGAUUCUUGUACUGGUGUUUAACAAAAUCAGCUGUGGUGAGUAUAGAAGUUGUUUUGUGUUUAUUUUUGUGUAUUUCAGCAGCAAGGAAUUACAAAUACAUGAUACACAUUUUGCAAAUACAUGUGUUGAUAUAUAAGGGGGCCUUCUCCAUCCAGUAGGAAUGCUGGGUGCAUAAGGCUGCCUCCCAAAAAAGAUUUCUCCACAUCAGACCUUCUUGUGUAUGGGCAUAUUACCCUAGAAUCACACAGUUCUCUUUAUUAUAUUCUCAUGCAACUUCAGAUGUGUAAUGACAAAGAAAAUAUCUAUGCUUAUAUGUAUAUUGCAGUAUAUAAUCUCAGUGUUCUGCAGACAGUAGUGAAUUAAGGUUCCUGAUGGUGUUCUGCUGUUUGUGUUGUGGCAAAUGAGAGGAUGGGAACACAAAAUUACCUCCACAGAGACCCUAAGAGAAGAGGAGGAGCUAGAACCAUAUCCUUCUCACCUUUGCUCUGGAGAUAAAGGAAGUGUUCUCAAAUGAAAUAU
rnacentral:lncRNA from 1 species